rnacentral:rRNA from 1 species
AUUGAACGCUGGCGGCAUGCCUUACACAUGCAAGUCGAACGGUAACAGGUCUUCGGAUGCUGACGAGUGGCGAACGGGUGAGUAAUACAUCGGAACGUGCCUAGUAGUGGGGGAUAACUACUCGAAAGAGUGGCUAAUACCGCAUGAGAUCUACGGAUGAAAGCAGGGGAUCGCAAGACCUUGUGCUACUAGAGCGGCCGAUGGGAGAUUCGGUAGUUGGUGGGAUAAAAGCUUACCAAGCCGACGAUCUGUAGCUGGUCUGAGAUGACGAUCAGACACACGAGGACUGAGACACGGCCCAGACUCCUACGGGAGGCAGCAGUGGUGAAUUUUGGACAAUGGGCGCAAGCCUGCUCGAGCAAUGCCGCGUGCAGGAUGAAGGCCUUCGGGUUGUAAACUGCUUUUGUACGGAACGAAAAGCCCUGGGUUAAUACCCUGGGGUCAUGACGGUACCGUAAGAAUAAGCACCGGCUAACUACGUGCCAGCCGCCGCGGUAACAC